GGGCUCAGUCAGGGGAGAAGGAGGGAGGGCGAAAGUGGGAGGGAGGGAGGGAGGAGAGGGAGAGCGCUGCGGAACAUGUGAUACAGCGAAACUUUGGCGGGGCUUAGAGGGAGUUUAACGGCUGCAGUGUCUCCGGAGCUCUGGGAAAGCACCUUUAGCCCAGAGGGAGCCUCACACACUGUGUGUGUGUGUGUGUGUGUGUGUGUGUGUGUGUGUGCGUGUGUGUGUGUGUCUGUGUGUGUGUGUGUGAGAGCCGGCUAUGUAAGGCUGCUGCUGUCACUUUAAGCCUGUUACUGAUUACACUCAGAAGAAUGCAACGGGAGGAGAGAAGGAGCGAGGGAGCGAGAUGAGGAGACUUGUAAGGUUGAAACCUUCCAGGAGUCGAGCAGGUUCCGGGUGACUUGUGUCCGUGGACAGCGAGGCGGGUGAGGAGCUGUCACCCGCAGUGUCCCCCCCCACCCCCACGUCUUCUCCUCCACACUCGCUGUUGGACCAAGCAGAGUUACCGUGGAGGGGGGGGGGGGACCGGGGACCUCCUUUUGAAGCCGAGGGCACCCAGAAAUGGAAGAAAAGCUAAAGAAGAGGUAGAAACUGAAGAGGCGGAAGGUGGGGGGGGGGGGUUUUGGGGGGACGGUGGGGGGGGUUUGCUCCCUAAUUCCAAGCCGAACGCCGUAGAGGAAACACUACUCUCACCCAGACGGGUUGGCCCGAUUCAUCACAGCUCAUCCCAGAGACGCCGCCGCACCACCAGAGACGCCAGCGUCCUCCUAAGGCGGACCCCCCCCCGCCCCCUCCUGCCGAGGAGAACCGGCCGGCCUUUGGCGGUUCACGGCUGCGUGGCUCCUGCCGGUUGCUCAGUAGGCAGUGUAGAUCCUGUGUAGCAAUCAGCAGCUACAUCUGGCUACUGGGUCUCCGGCGGCUCGGCCCACUUCCCCGGUUCCCAUUGGCCCGGUGGCACAUUCCAAUCCCCUCGAUUGGCUGCGGGGUCGGGGAGGAUGAGGGCGUGGAGGGGGGGGGCUUCAUCCUGCGACCCCACAGACAGGAUGUUCUCUGUGUCACAACUCUACAAGGGGCCCUUGUCGAGGCUUUUUGUGUCGCUGUGGUGUUGUGUGUGUGUUUUUUUUUUUAACUCCUUCCUCUAUCGCCAUUCUUUUAAUUCUCUCCCUCCCUCCCGCUCGCUUUCUCUCCCGUUUGCUCUCCCUUCGUGCUCUUUGUGCACGAACAUUGGUGCAUGUCCUUGGUAAACGCUAUGAAAGUUCAACUUUCAAUGUUCCCGGGGACAGAAAUUUCAAGGGGCGAUUCUUGCCGGAGGAGAGUUUGAAAAGCCUCGGCGGUGAAGAGGUGCUCCUUUGCUCCGUCCUGAACCUGGCAUACAAUGUAGAUUUCUGUGUGGUUAAAUUCAACAGCUACAUUGUCUGCUGGGUUUCUGGCCAGUAACAUAAGCGGCGUUUAUGUAACUUCCGCACAAAAAAAAAAGGUAAGUAUUGAUUUGGUUUUUUUUCUGUCAAUGUGCCGCGAAUGCCCGACCCUGACAAUUCAAUAAAGAGGAAAUAUUUCUGAUUAAUCCUACUGAGUGGUGCGUGCUGUCAUUUGUCGGACUGAAAAUCAGAUUUGAAGAGAAGGAAAUAAACCUGGAAUCUGCAGAAUCUAAAUUGAUUCAGCGUUGCUGCGGCGUCCCAGGAGUUAACCCCGAGCCAGAGAUGCCAGGAAUAUUCCAGUAGCUCAGCACAAAGCCGGCUCGUUGUCUGUCAGGAGGCUGUCAGACGGCUGUCAGAUGGGCUCCUUAUUAGUGGAACACCAGUGUCUUCCAACACACACACACACACACACACACACACCUGGGAUUAUACCAAACUCUUCACACAAACCAACAAUGCUUUUGGAAUGCAUUCAUACCUCGGUGCGCUCCUGUGAAACUUUCUUUCACCUUCCACGAAGCCCCGUAGAGCCGAAAAUGAACUUUUACAUCUGCAUGUUUGUUUUCAUUGAAUUGUGAACACACUCACAUUUAAAAAUGUAAUUUGGCGAGUCUCAUUCAGCUCAUUUCUGGUGGUUCUCUCUCUUUCCUCAGCUCAGUAUGCGUUAAAUAUGACACAUUAAGAAGACUUUAUGUAGUGUUUAUGUAGCAAUUCAUUCAUUUAUUUACUUUCCUUUCAGCACAUGUCUGAGUUUACUUUUCUGUAAUCUCAUUAAAAGCCUUUAAAUAAAGUAUCAAAGAAAGAAAACAUCUGCUUUUGUCU
ensembl:lncRNA